rnacentral:rRNA from 1 species
UACGUAGGGGGCAAGCGUUGUCCGGAAUUAUUGGGCGUAAAGCGCGCGCAGGCGGUUUUUUAAGUCUGAUGUAUAAGCCCAAGGCUCAACUUUGGGAGGCAUUGGAAACUGGGAGACUGGAGUGUAGGAGAGGAAAGUGGAAUUCCACGUGUAGCGGUGAAAUUCGUAGAUAUUCGGAAGAACACCAGUGGCGAAGGCGGCUCACUGGCUCAUACUGGACGCUGAGGUGCGAAAGCGUGGGGAGCAAACAGG